AUAGGUAAAUAGAUUGAAAAUGAAGUACUUUGAGAUAUGUGCAAGCAAGUGGAUCACAAAUAAAAUGCUUUGCGAUCUAUGUAGGUAGAUGGAUGAUAAAGAAUGAAGCUCUUUAAGAUAUAUGUAUGCAGAUGGAUAACUGAGAUCAGAGUACUUUAAGAUUUAUGUUGGCAAAUGAAUAACAAAGGAUAAGACACUUUAACAUCUAUGUAGGCGACUAAAUUAUAAAGAAUGGAAAUGUUUGAGAUUCGUGUAAGUGGAUGAA
rnacentral:lncRNA from 1 species